AACUGGGGUUAAUUCCCGAUGGGUGAGGAGGCCUGGAAUGGUUCUUCACUGAAAGGGCGCUAGAGGCAUGCUCUCUAACGUUGCCCAAGGAUGGGGCCGCGGCCGAUCAGGUUGUUGGUGAGGUAACGGCUUACCAAGCCUAUAACCGGUACGGGCCGUGAGAGCGGAAGCCCGGAGAUGGGCACUGAGAUAAGGGCCCAGGCCCUACGGGGCGCAGCAGUUGCGAAAACUCCGCAAUGCACGAAAGUGUGACGGGGCUACCCCGAGUGCCGUCCGCUGAGGAUGGCUUUUCUCCGCUGUAAGGAGGCGGAGGAAUAAGGAGAGGGCAAGACUGGUGUCAGCCGCCGCGGUAAUACCAGCUCCCCGAGUGGUAGGGGUGAUUAUUGGGCUUAAAGCGUCCGUAGCCGGCCUGGCAAGUCUUCCGUUAAAUCCAGCAACCUAAUUGUUGGGCUGCGGGGGAUACUGUUAGGCUUGGGGGCGGGAGAGGCCGACGGUAUUCUCGGGGUAGGGGUGAAAUCUUAUAAUCCCGAGAGGACCACCAGUGGCGAAGGCUGUCGGCUAGCACGCGCCUGACGGUGAGGGACGAAAGCUGGGGGAGCGAACCGGAUUAGAUACCCGGGUAGUCCCUGCUGUAAACGAUGCGAGCUAGGUGUUGGGGCGGCUACGAGCCGCUUCAGUGCCGCAGCGAAGGCGUUAAGCUCGCCGCCUGGGGAGUACGGCCGCAAGGCUGAAACUUAAAGGAAUUGGCGGGGGAGCACCACAAGGCGUGAAGCUUGCGGUUCAAUUGGAGUCAACGCCGGGAACCUUACCGGGGGCGACAGCAGGAUGAAGGCCAGGUUGAUGGUCUUGCUGGACGAGCUGAGAGGAGGCGCAUGGCCGUCGUCAGUUCGUGCCGUGAGGUGUCCUCUUAAGUGAGGUAACGAUCGAGACCCGCACCCCUUGUUGCUAACAGACUCCAUCGGGGUCUGUGCACACUAGGGGGACCGCCGUCGAUAAGACGGAGGAAGGAGCGGGCCACGGCAGGUCAGUAUGCCCCGAAUCCCCCGGGCCACACGCGAGCUGCAAUGGCAGGGACAAUGGGUGUCGACUCCGAAAGGAGGAGGUAAUCUCUAAACCCUGCCUCAGUUGGGAUCGAGGGCUGAAACCCGUCCUCGUGAAUAUGGAAUGCCUAGUAAUCGCGCGUCAUCAUCGCGCGGUGAAUACGUCCCCGCUCCUUGCACACACCGCCCGUCGUUCCAUCCGAGUGGGGUUUGGGUGAGGCGUAGUCCUUGGUGGCUGCGUCGAACUCAGGUUCCGCAAGGAGGGAA
rnacentral:rRNA from 1 species